CAUCGUGAGGUGGAAUCUGAAGGAAGCCGUAGGCAAACAUCUGCCCCGACGUACAGAAACUUGAUACCAAGGCUUAGGAGAGUGGAUGAGUCUGCAAAACAAGACAAAGUCCCAUAACUGUUCGGAACUCUCAAAGUAAAUCAAGCGGGGAUAAGAUGGAAAGAAU
rnacentral:ncRNA from 1 species